rnacentral:rRNA from 1 species
UACGAAGGGGGCUAGCGUUGCUCGGAAUCACUGGGCGUAAAGGGCGCGUAGGCGGCCAUUCAAGUCAGAGGUGAAAGCCCAGGGUUUAACCCUGGAAUUGCCUUUGAUACUGUUUGGCUUGAGACCGGAAGAGGUAAGUGGAACUGCGAGUGUAGAGGUGAAAAUUCGUAGAUAUUCGCAAGAACACCAGUGGCGAAGGCGGCUUACUGGUCCGGUUCUGACGCUGAGGCGCGAAAAGCGUGGGGGAGCAAACAGG